rnacentral:rRNA from 2 species
UGGGGGAUAUUGCACAAUGGGCGCAAGCCUGAUGCAGCAACGCCGCGUGCGGGAAGACGACCUUCGGGUUGUAAACCGCUGUCCUUGGGGAAGAAACAAAUGACGGUACCCAAGAAGGAAGCCACGGCUAACUACGUGCCAGCAGCCGCGGUAAUACGUAGGUGGCAAGCGUUGUCCGGAUUUACUGGGUGUAAAGGGGGCGCAGGCGGGAAGCUAAGUUGGAUGUGAAAUACCGGGGCUCAACUCCGGAGCUGCAUCCAAAACUGGUUUUCUUGAGUGGAGUAGAGGCAAGCGGAAUUCCUAGUGUAGCGGUGAAAUGCGUAGAUAUUAGGAGGAACACCAGUUGCGAAGGCGGCUCUCUGGACUGUAACUGACACUGAGGCACGAAAGCGUGGGGAGCAAACAGG